rnacentral:tRNA from 1 species
UUUCGGAUUUGGUGCAUGGUAAGGAUAAACGGCUGUUGGUCAUUAUCGGGCCGUGUUCGAUUCACGAUCCAAAAGC